rnacentral:rRNA from 1 species
GAAUUCGCCCUUAGAGUUUGAUCAUGGCUCAGGAUGAACGCUAGCGGCAGGCCUAACACAUGCAAGUCGAGGGGUAACAGGGAGUAGCUUGCUACUUUGCUGACGACCGGCGCACGGGUGCGUAACGCGUAUACAAUCUGCCUUGUACUGGGGGAUAGCCUUUAGAAAUGAAGAUUAAUACCCCAUAGUAUAUGACUGUGGCAUCACAGCCAUAUUAAAGGUUACGGUACAAGAUGAGUAUGCGUCCUAUUAGCUAGAUGGUGUGGUAACGGCACACCAUGGCGACGAUAGGUAGGGGCCCUGAGAGGGGGAUCCCCCACACUGGUACUGAGACACGGACCAGACUCCUACGGGAGGCAGCAGUGAGGAAUAUUGGACAAUGGAGGCAACUCUGAUCCAGCCAUGCCGCGUGCAGGAAGACUGCCCUAUGGGUUGUAAACUGCUUUUAUACGGGAAGAAACACCCCCACGUGUGGGGGCUUGACGGUACCGUAAGAAUAAGCACCGGCUAACUCCGUGCCAGCAGCCGCGGUAAUACGGAGGGUGCAAGCGUUAUCCGGAAUCAUUGGGUUUAAAGGGUCCGUAGGCGGACGAUUAAGUCAGAGGUGAAAGUCUGCAGCUCAACUGUAGAAUUGCCUUUGAUACUGGUUGUCUUGAAUUAUUGUGAAGUGGUUAGAAUAAGUAGUGUAGCGGUGAAAUGCAUAGAUAUUACUUAGAAUACCAAUUGCGAAGGCAGAUCACUAACAAUAUAUUGACGCUGAGGGACGAAAAGCGUGGGGGAGCGAACAGGAUUAGAUACCCUGGUAGUCCACGCCGUAAACGAUGGAUACUAGCUGUUCGAUUUUCGGAUUGAGUGGCUAAACCGAAAAGUGAUAAAGUAUCCCACCUGGGGGAAUACUUUCGCAAAAAAUGAAAACUCAAAAGGAAUUGACGGGGGGCCCCCCACAAACCGGUGGAACCAUGUGGUUUUAAUUU